rnacentral:rRNA from 1 species
UACGUAGGGGGCAAGCGUUGUCCGGAAUCAUUGGGCGUAAAGCGCGUGUAGGCGGCUGAGUAAGUCUGCUGUGAAAGCCCGGGGCUCAACCCCGGGAGGCGGGUGGAUACUGCUCAGCUCGAGUCCGGAAGAGGAGUGUGGAAUUCCUGGUGUAGCGGUGAAAUGCGCAGAUAUCAGGAGGAACACCAAUGGCGAAGGCGGCACUCUGGGCCGGCACUGACGCUGAGGAGCGAAAGCGUGGGUAGCAAACAGG